rnacentral:rRNA from 1 species
UACAGAGAGUGCGAACGUUGUUCGGAAUUACUGGGCUUAAAGCGCACGUAGGCGGUGUCGUAAGUGUCAGGUGAAAUCCCACGGCUCACCCGUGGAACUGCCUGGCAUACUGCGAUACUCGAGUGUGGUAGGGGAGAGCGGAACUCCUGGUGGAGCGGUGAAAUGCGUAGAUAUCAGGAGGAACACCGGUGGCGAAGGCGGCUCUCUGGUCCACAACUGACGCUGAGGUGCGAAAGCUAGGGGAGCAAACGGG